AAUGAACGUUGGCGGCGUGGAUUAGGCAUGCAAGUCGUGCGGCAGCAGGCCCCGCAAGGGGUGCUGGCGAGCGGCGAAAGGGAUAGUAACACGUGGAUUACCUACCUCCCGGACGGGGAUAGCUGCGGGAAACCGCAAUUAAUACCCGAUGACGUCUUCGGACCAAAGGUGUGAUUCCGCCGGGAGACGGGUCCGCGUCCUAUUAGCUAGUUGGCAGGGUAACGGCCUACCAAGGCUCAGAUGGGUAGCGGGUGUGAGAGCACGACCCGCAUCACUGGGACUGAGACACUGCCCAGACACCUACGGGUGGCUGCAGUCGAGGAUCUUCGGCAAUGGGCGAAAGCCUGACCGAGCGACGCCGCGGGCGGGAUGAAGGCCUUCGGGUUGUAAACCGCUGUCAGUGGGGAGGAAAUAUCAGAGGGAACACUCUCUGGUUUGACCUAUCCGCAGAGGAAGGACGGGCUAAGUUCGUGCCAGCCGCCGCCGUAAGAC
rnacentral:rRNA from 1 species